AACGAACGCUGGCGGCGUGGAUAAGACAUGCAAGUCGAACGCUGAUCGUCGGGUAGCAAUAUUCGGCGGUCGGAGUGGCGAAAGGGUGCGUAACACGUGGGUAAUUUGCCGCGAAGUGGGGGAUAACUCCGAGAAAUCGGAGCUAAUACCGCAUGUGACGAAUGGGAGGCAUCUUCUGUUCGUUGAAGUUGGGGACCGAAAGGCCUGACGCUUCGCGAUAAGCCCGCGGCCUAUCAGCUAGUUGGUGAGGUAACGGCUCACCAAGGCGAAGACGGGUAGCUGGUCUGAGAGGACGACCAGCCACACUGGAACUGAGACACGGUCCAGACACCUACGGGUGGCAGCAGUCGAGAAUUUUUCUCAAUGGGCGAAAGCCUGAAGGAGCGACGCCGCGUGGGGGAUGAAGGGCUUCGGCUCGUAAACCCCUGUCAUUCGCGAACAAACCUUUCGGUUGAACAGACUGAGAGCUGAUUGUAGCGGAAGAGGAAGGGACGGCUAACUCUGUGCCAGCAGCCGCGGUAAAAC
rnacentral:rRNA from 1 species